AUGAAGAAAUUCCUCGUCCUUGCCCUCAUUGUUGUCGCGGCGACCACCACGGCCGCCGAACCCUUUACUGCAUUCCGUAGUGCUUGGGAGCCGCAACAUCCAUCAUCUCCGGAGCAUCAACCAACUCCGCAGCCACAAGAACAUCCAGUUCCACAUCAAAAGUUGAACCCAUGCAGGGAUGCCCUCCUACAACAGUGUAGCCCAGUUGCUGAUAUGUCAUUCCUCCGGUCACAGGUGGUGCAACAUAGCAGCUGCUUGGUAAUGUGGGAGCAGUGCUGUCAGCAACUAAAAGCGAUCCCCAAGCAGUCAAGAUGCGAGGCCAUCCACAACGUCGUGCACGCCAUUAUUUUGCAACAACAACAACAAUUGGUACAAGCUACUUCCACCCAACCUCAGCAGCAGCAACAACAAGGUCAACAACAACAACAGGGUCUGGGUUCUAGCCAGCCACAACAACAAACACAACUGGAUCAGGGUUGGAUUGCGGUGAUAGGGACAUGGGUGAUUCAGACCAUCCCGGCAAUGUGCGACGUGCAUGUUCCACCAUACUGCUACACCACCAUAUCACCAUCCAGUGACGUCACUACCGACAUGGGCGGCUACUGA
rnacentral:rRNA from 1 species